rnacentral:rRNA from 1 species
AGCGGCAGACGGGUGAGUAACGCGUGGGAAUCUACCCAUCCCUACGGAACAACUCCGGGAAACUGGAGCUAAUACCGUAUACGCCCUUAGGGGGAAAGAUUUAUCGGGGAUGGAUGAGCCCGCGUUGGAUUAGCUAGUUGGUGGGGUAAAGGCCUACCAAGGCGACGAUCCAUAGCUGGUCUGAGAGGAUGAUCAGCCACAUUGGGACUGAGACACGGCCCAAACUCCUACGGGAGGCAGCAGUGGGGAAUAUUGGACAAUGGGCGCAAGCCUGAUCCAGCCAUGCCGCGUGAAUGAUGAAGGCCUUAGGGUUGUAAAGUUCUUUCACCGGAGAAGAUAAUGACGGUAUCCGGAGAAGAAGCCCCGGCUAACUUCGUGCCAGCAGCCGCGGUAAUACGAAGGGGGCUAGCGUUGUUCGGAAUUACUGGGCGUAAAGCGCACGUAGGCGGAUAUUUAAGUCAGGGGUGAAAUCCCAGAGCUCAACUCUGGAACUGCCUU